AUACGGAGGACGCGAGCGUUAUCCGGAUUCAUUGGGUUUAAAGGGUGCGCAGGCGGCCGUGCAAGUCAGCGGUGAAAGCCCGGGGCUCAACCCCGGAAGUGCCGUUGAUACUGCGUGGCUGGAAUGCGGUCGAGGCGGGCGGAACGUGGCGUGUAGCGGGGAAAAGCGUAGAUAUGCCACAGAACGCCGAUAGCGGAGGCAGCUCGCAAGGCCUGCAUUGACGCUCGGGCACGAAAGCGUGGGGAUCGAACAGGAUUAGAUACCCUGGUAGUCCACGCCGUAAACGAUGGGCGCUCGUCGUCGGCGACAGACAGUCGGCGGCCAAGCGAAAGCGAUAAGCGCCCCACCUGGGGAGUACGGUCGCAAGGCUGAAACUCAAAUGAAUUGACGGGG
rnacentral:rRNA from 1 species